UACGAAGGGGACUAGCGUUGUUCGGAAUCACUGGGCGUAAAGCGCACGUAGGCGGAUUCGUAAGUCAGGGGUGAAAUCCCGGGGCUCAACCUCGGAACUGCCUUUGAUACUGCGGGUCUUGAGUCCGAUAGAGGUGGGUGGAAUUCCUAGUGUAGAGGUGAAAUUCGUAGAUAUUAGGAAGAACACCGGUGGCGAAGGCGGCCCACUGGAUCAGUACUGACGCUGAGGUGCGAAAGCGUGGGGAGCAAACAGG
rnacentral:rRNA from 1 species